UACGAAGGGGGCUAGCGUUGCUCGGAAUCACUGGGCGUAAAGCGCACGUAGGCGGCUUUCUAAGUCAGGGGUGAAAUCCUGGAGCUCAACUCCAGAACUGCCUUUGAUACUGAAGAUCUUGAGUUCGGGAGAGGUGAGUGGAACUGCGAGUGUAGAGGUGAAAUUCGUAGAUAUUGGGAAGAACACCAGUGGCGAAGGCGGCUAACUGGUCCAGCACUGACGCUGAGGUGCGAAAGCGUGGGGAGCAAACAGG
rnacentral:rRNA from 1 species